CCACUCCUCCCUGCUGCCCCCUUCAAGCUCUCACUCUAGAGUUCCGCGGCAGUAGCCCCCUCCCGUCACCUUUCCUUUUGUGCCCGUGAGUUUGGAUCCUGAGAGAGAGAGAGAGCGCCAACUCAACGAUACCGCACAAACUGGAUCCACUCAACGGGGCUGUUUUAAAAUGUACAACUACUUGGCCCCCAAGGGUGCGUUCUUUACAUUGAGAUUUCUUCUUGUGCCUGGAGACGGGGGACAGUUAAGGGUGUAAGAAACCAAUGCAGAAAACAGCUAAAGCAGAUCCCCCGUGAUGACUUCUUCCAGAUGGCUAAAAAUGGCAGACAGAUUUGAGCAGUGAAAGAGAGAGAAAGGUCAUCUGCAGCCGUGAUCGGCGGAGAGCUCGUGACCUCGGUCCGGACGGUCACCAACCGGUAACAUCAGUACAGACAUUUCAAAACUGGUAAUCUGCCUUCUGCACAAGCUCAGUUGGGUGGACCUGUAAGGCAUUCCUUCUCUGCACAGAUUUCUGUCUUUCAAGGUCCAUGACUGAACCCUUCGACACUUGGCAGUGCAGGGGAAGAAUCAGAUUUAUUGAAUAAAGGCUUUAC